rnacentral:rRNA from 1 species
GAUGAACGCUGGCGGCGUGCCUAAUACAUGCAAGUCGAGCGAAUGGAUUAAGAGCUUGCUCUUAUGAAGUUAGCGGCGGACGGGUGAGUAACACGUGGGUAACCUGCCCAUAAGACUGGGAUAACUCCGGGAAACCGGGGCUAAUACCGGAUAAUAUUUUGAACUGCAUGGUUCAAAAUUGAAAGGCGGCUUAGGCUGUCACUUAUGGAUGGACCCGCGUCGCAUUAGCUAGUUGGUGAGGUAACGGCUCACCAAGGCAACGAUGCGGAGCCGACCUGAGAGGGUGAUCGGCCACACUGGGACUGAGACACGGCCCAGACUCCUACGGGAGGCAGGAGUAGGGAAUCUUCCGCAAUGGACGAAAGUCUGACGGAGCACCUCCGCGUGAGUGAUGAAGGCUUUCGGGUUGUAAAACUCUGUUGUUAGGGAAGAACAAGUGCUAGUUGAAUAAGCUGGCACCUUGACGGUACCUACCCAGAAAGCCACGGCUAACUACGUGCCAGCCGCCGCCGUAA